rnacentral:rRNA from 1 species
UGCGUAGACGGUAUGUUAAGUUUGUUGUUAAAGGCUCCGGCCUAACUGGAGUAUUGCGAUGAAAACUGGCGUGCUAGAGGGUGAGAGAGAGAAGUGGAAUUCCCGGAGUAGCGGUAAAAUGCGUGGAUCUCGGGAGGAACACCAAUGGCGAAGGCAGCUUCUUGGCUCAUUUCCUGACGUUGAGGCACGAAAGCGUGGGGAGCAAAC